UUCAGAUGGGGAGAGAUGGCUCCUACUCUGGAGGAUGUGUCACUUUUGCUCGGACUACCGUUGGCAGGUCAUGCCGUAGGACCGUUGGACGCACCGGCUGGUUGGGAGCGAGCUCUUACACAACGUUUUCAUGGUGUUUUUCCGGAUGCUCCGGAUCCGGUAUGGGAGCAUCACGGACCUAAGUAUGAGUGGUUGCUAAAUUUCCGGAUCCAGAACUUCCGGGCGCCGUUGACUGCGGAACAGAUCACUCGGAGCCUGGAGGCCUACUUAAUGUGGCUUUUCGGCAAGGUGAUGUUCACGGAGAACCAUGUCACCACUAUUAGCGCGCUCUACAUUCCUAUGGCACUCGAGAUAGCGAGCGCUCAGACGGCGGAUCAGAUCAGACAGAGGAGUUGGGGUUCGGCGGUCUUAGCGGCUACAUACCGAGAGACGCUUUGCUAGUGAUCAGACCAGGAAGGCAUACACAGCAUUGAACGAGCAGUUCGAUGCGUACACCGGGGUCAUCUGGCAGCCCUACACGGAAGCAGCCAUACAAGCGAGAUACCCUGGUGGUAUGUCUGUGCUAUGCACAAGGGACCGAGAUUACUGGAUGACAAAAUCUAAGAUCAUCUUCGAUGUCUUCGUCGAGGAGAUGGCACAACAGAGGGUUAUGAGGCAAUUUGGUCUUCUGCAGUUGGAGCUACCUCCCCCUAUAGAGAACCCGGUGCCAGCACACAUCCACAGGACGACAAGGAAGGGCAUGACCAGGACAACUGCUGACUGGCUAGUUAGACUAGAGCCGUAUGUUAUAGAAUGGGAGACAGCAAACACAAAUCUAUGGCACGAGAAUCACAAUUUCGAUCUCGAUGAAUUCAA